CUACGGGAUGCAGCAGUGGGGAAUAUUGGGCAAUGGGCGCAAGCCUGACCCAGCAACGCCGCGUGAGGGAAGAAGGUUUUCGGAUUGUAAACCUCUGUCCUUGGGGACGAAGAAGUGACGGUACCCAAGGAGGAAGCUCCGGCUAACUACGUGCCAGCAGCCGCGGUAAUACGUAGGGAGCAAGCGGUGUCUGGAAUUACUGGGCGUAAAGGGUGCGUAGGCGGCAUAUUAAGUCAGGUGUGAAAUACUCGGGCUCAACCCGGGGGCUGCAUUUGAAACUGAUAUGCUUGAGUGUGAGAGAGGAAAGUGGAAUUCCUAGUGUAGCGGUGGAAUGCGUAGAUAUUAGGAGGAACACCAGUGGCGAAGGCGACUUUCUGGCUCAUAACUGACGCUGAGGCACGAAAGCGUGGGGAGCAAACAGGAUUAGAUACCCUUGUAGUC
rnacentral:rRNA from 1 species